ACUCAAAUGAAUAGACGGGGGCCCGCACAAGCGGUGGAGCAUGUGGUUUAAUUCGACGCAACGCGAAGAACCUUACCAACCCUUGACAUGCCCGGACGGUUUCCAGAGAUGGACUCCUCCCAGCAAUGGGCCGGGACACAGGUGCUGCAUGGCUGUCGUCAGCUCGUGUCGUGAGAUGUUGGGUUAAGUCCCGCAACGAGCGCAACCCUCGCCAUUAGUUGCCAUCAUUCAGUUGGGCACUCUAGUGGGACUGCCGGUGAUAAGCCGGAGGAAGGUGGGGCUGAAGUCAAGUCAUCAUGGCCCUUACGGGUUGGGCUACACACGUGCUACAAUGGCGGUGACAGUGGGCAGCUACCUAGCAAUAGGCAGCUAAUCCCAAAAAGCCGUCUCAGUUCGGAUCGGGGUCUGCAACUCGACCCCGUGAAGUCGGAAUCGCUAGUAAUCGCAGAUCAGCACGCUGCGGUGAAUACGUUCCCGGGCCUUGUACACACCGCCCGU
rnacentral:rRNA from 1 species